rnacentral:rRNA from 1 species
UACAGGGGGUGCAAACGUUGCUCGGAAUCAUUGGGCGUAAAGCGCACGUAGGCGGUCUGUUAUGUCGGAUGUGAAAGCCCUCGGCUCAACUGAGGAAGUGCAUCCGAAACUGGCAGGCUAGAGUACUAAAGAGGGUCGCGGAAUUCCCGGUGUAGAGGUGAAAUUCGUAGAUAUCAGGAGGAACACCAAUAGCGAAGGCAGCUCGCUGGGACGUUACUGACACUGAGGCGCGAAAGCGUGGGGAGCGAACAGG